rnacentral:tRNA from 1 species
GGCACUAUGGCCGAGUGGUUAAGGCGAAAGACUCGAAAUCUCUGGGGCUCUGCCCGCGCUGGUUCAAAUCCUGCUGGUGUCG